rnacentral:rRNA from 1 species
AUUGAACGCUGGCGGCAUGCCUUACACAUGCAAGUCGAACGGCAGCACGGGAGCAAUCCUGGUGGCGAGUGGCGAACGGGUGAGUAAUAUAUCGGAACGUGCCCAGUCGUGGGGAUAACGUAGCGAAAGUUACGCUAAUACCGCAUACGAUCUAAGGAUGAAAGCGGGGGGACUCGCAAGAGCCUCGCGCGAUUGGAGCGGCCGAUAUCAGAUUAGGUAGUUGGUGGGGUAAAGGGCUCACCAAGCCAACGAUCUGUAGCUGGUCUGAGAGGACGACCAGCCACACUGGGACUGAGACACGGCCCAGACUCCUACCGGGAGGCAGCAGUGGGGAAUUUGGACAAUGGCGCAAGCCUGAUCCAGCAAUGCCGCGUGCAGGAUGAAGGCC